rnacentral:rRNA from 1 species
UAGGGAAUCUUCGGCAAUGGACGGAAGUCUGACCGAGCAACGCCGCGUGAGUGAAGAAGGUUUUCGGAUCGUAAAGCUCUGUUGUUAGAGAAGAACGUUGGUAGGAGUGGAAAAUCUACCAAGUGACGGUAACUAACCAGAAAGGGACGGCUAACUACGUGCCAGCAGCCGCGGUAAUACGUAGGUCCCGAGCGUUGUCCGGAUUUAUUGGGCGUAAAGCGAGCGCAGGCGGUUCUUUAAGUCUGAAGUUAAAGGCAGUGGCUUAACCAUUGUACGCUUUGGAAACUGGAGGACUUGAGUGCAGAAGGGGAGGGGGGAAUUCCAUGUGUGGCGGUGAAAUGCGUAGAUAUAUGGAGGAACACCGGUGGCGAAAGCGGCUCGCUGGUCUGUAACUGACGCUGAGGCUCGAAAGCGUGGGGAGCAAGCAGG